UAACGUUGUAAGCCUAUUUGCUUUUUCCCGUUACUUCAUAUAAUAUCUUAAUUUUUUUGUAGUUUCUUGUCCACGAUUCCUAGUGUAGGAUCAUUCUCCUGGUAGUCAAUAAUUUCCACAUUGCCUUGAGGAGAGUUAAAAUUGUUAUAAUUACAAUGCAAAAAGAAUCAGUAGCUGUUCAGUUUUUGACUUUCAAAAUAGACUCUUGAAAUUCACAUCAAAAUCAAUAUUUUAAAAAGCCAAAGAUUUUGCUUUUUCAGAACAAAUUUGAUUGGCGGGGAGGG
rnacentral:lncRNA from 10 species